rnacentral:lncRNA from 1 species
UGGUAUUAGAGCUAACGUUUAGGCCGUUCUAGGUAUUAAGGAGAAGGAACAAGUAUAAGCAAAUGUAUAUACCUUAUAUGUUAAGGUCUUUAUAACUCUACUAUAGGUUUUUGUAAGUUGGCUAAGAAUGUUAUUUGACAUUCAACAUGUGUUAGAAGAUAGAGGUGAUAGUCUAAAGUCGUGAUCGCGAUAAUCUAUUCAAUGCUACAAAUGUGUGUAUUGUAAGCUGCAGAUUACAUUAUGGACAUUGGAGCAUUGAGUGGAAAUUGCGUGCAUCACUUUUAAGAAUCUUCUAGGAUAUAAUAGAUGCCUUAUAUCUGAUGCAGUUGUACCAUGACAAGUUUUCUAAUUGCUAUGAAGUGACUUCUAAUAAAAAUUUAUAUCCUUCUAGAAUAAAAUACUAAAAUACUAGAGAUAUUAGCAAUAAGGUAUAGACAAAUUCUAUGAUAGCGACAAUAUACUCAAAAAACAUAAUUGUUUUUGUGUUGUUUAUCAUUAAAAA